GGUUGUGUAGUGUAGUGGUCAUCACUCCGGAUUUUGAUUGUCUCCCAAUCGCGUCUUCCGGCAACCCCGGUUCGAACCCGGGCACGACCU
rnacentral:tRNA from 1 species